rnacentral:rRNA from 1 species
GACGAACGCUGACGGCGUGCUUAACACAUGCAAGUCGAACGCUGAAGCUUGGUGCUUGCCCUGGGUGGAUGAGUGGCGAACGGGUGAGUAAUACGUGAGUAACCUGCCCUUGACUCUGGGAUAAGCCUGGGAAACUGGGUCUAAUACUGGAUACGACAUGUCACCGCAUGGUGGUGUGUGGAAAGGGUUUUACUGGUUUUGGAUGGGCUCACGGCCUAUCAGCUUGUUGGUGGGGUAAUGGCUCACCAAGGCGACGACGGGUAGCCGGCCUGAGAGGGUGACCGGCCACACUGGGACUGAGACACGGCCCAGACUCCUACGGGAGGCAGCAGUGGGGAAUAUUGCACAAUGGGCGGAAGCCUGAUGCAGCGACGCCGCGUGAGGGAUGACGGCCUUCGGGUUGUAAACCUCUUUCAGCACGGAAGAAGCGAAAGUGACGGUACGUGCAGAAGAAGCGCCGGCUAACUACGUG